UUGGGGGGGGAGGGGGUAUCAUCGCUUCUCGGUCUCUUGACUGGGAUCAAAUGUAGAGGGGGCUCUCGCCAACGACUGCCCCUCCACGCACCCGUUACUGGCGGUUCCAGGCCCGCCCCGCGAUUGUCUAAGGACACGAACUCGGGGGUGUGCGCGGGUGGCAUGUUGGAGCCACAGUGUUGUUGCUUGGGCUUUUCUACUGACCCUGCUGCCUGCGCUUUCUCCCUUAAAAAGCAGAUUUUCUGGAGUCCAGGAUCAGGGGUCGGGUUUUUCUGUACCCGGGGCCCUACAGAACCUUGGCAGGAAAUGUACAGGAAUCAGGAAUUGUGAGUGCCAAGUGUGCCAGGCACUCUGGGGCUCAUGAGAAGAGGGCCUCGGGCCAGCCAGACUUGACACCCACUUUAAAAUGAAGUUAAAAUGGUAACAUCUAGUGGGACCCAUUCUGCGGGGACUGAAGCUGCACUGAGUUCUGUCGCAGCUGAAGCUCCAUCCUGUUCCUCUCGGAAGCCCCCCCUCAAGGAACAGUAGGUGGGCCGCGAGACAUGGCCUCUUCUGUUGUUGCUCCAAGGGUUGGCCUCUUUGAAUGCUCAAUUUAGUCAAUAUUCAGAACAUAGAACACUAACUAGGACUUAGAGCAAUUUGGUCCACUAUACAUUUGUAAGCAGCACUGAAACAUUUCUUUUUCUCUCUACUGGAUCCCUUCAGCAGUCAGAAACUCUCAGGAUGAUGGUCAUGAUAUUAAAAUAAUCCGAAGUGGACCAUGCUGAUGGAGAAGUUCACAGAAGAGGAAUUGGAGAAAGCACCUUCCACUGCACACUAAUGUGUGCAUUUCCCGCUUUUCUUUUUUCCUGUAUUUCUUUGCAUGAGAUUUUCUGAGAUGAGUUGUGUAAGAGGACAGUGAUUGAUAAAACAACUACAAAAUCCUCAUUUUUGGCUUUUAUCCUUUUAGUUAAGCUUAUUGCCCAGAUGACCUAUGCAUUGCUUAAUUUAGUUGGAAUAAAAUCAGCACUGUAUUUAAUCACCACUGUU